rnacentral:lncRNA from 1 species
AAUAAUUGCUGACGCAGCGAGCGAGCCUGAAGCGAGCGAGCAAGUCAGCAAUUCUAAUUCGUAUUGGGCUCUGAAAGUAAGAUUUUACUUCCGUUUCUCCGACCAGAAUGCACUGCUGUUAACCGACCAGCAUGCAUUGCUGUUAGCCGACCAGAAUGCUUUGCAUGCAUAAUGCUAUAAAUACGGGGAAUCUCAUUAAUCAGUUUAUAUAAGCCGGUAACGAUGCAGUUCUUUUGGUGUAUUUUGUAUUUCAUUGUAUGCCUGGUCUGUUGAUUUCUGGCUCGUCUUACACUAUAUAUACUGAAUUUGUUUAUUACAAACAAUUUAUAACGCUUCGAAAGCGAAUUUAUGCGUUUGUGCUCUUCGCCUUAUUUUCUUUUGUCUUUUCUUAUUUCAUGUAGCACUUAGCAGUAAAAUCAACAUUGUAUUUACACGUCUGAAAGCGUUCAUUUCAAGCAUUAAAAGUGAAUAAAUUAUUGUCCGUCAGUUUCACUUUGCUAUAAUUUAAACAGGGUUUAGGUUGUAGACCUUUUGUUUGAAUAUGAUUUGACAAUAAGGUAAUUGACACGGCCGCGGAGACAUGGCAUGAACAGUCCGGCAACUGCCAACUAUGUUUAUAUCAUGGCGUUUUAAAAGAAUGAUGCUUUGCAUGCUAUUUCAUGGGUUAACUAAAUGUAGUUUGGCUGCCAAAAAAGCACACUACACUAUACUCAAUGCAUACACAACAUAGUUUAAUUUAUGCAUAGGCAUUGUUUAAGCAUGCAACGCAGCCAGGGGCAAGUCAGUAGGAUCGUGCAUGGGAUUGAAGUAUGUGCAUUGAAUAUUUUUUAUAAUUGAUCAUGCUUUUGUUAUUGCAUGUGUCGAAACAAUAAAAACAAUGUCCUCAACUCUACAGGGUGCAUGAAAAAACCUGGAAACCUUUGAAGUACUGG